rnacentral:rRNA from 1 species
GUCUACAGCCAUGCCACCCUGAACACGCCCGAUCCUGUCUGAUCUCGGAAGCUAAGCAGGGUUGGGCCUGAUUAGUACUUGGAUGGGAGACCACCUAGGAAGACCAGGUGCUGUAGGUG